rnacentral:rRNA from 1 species
GAUGAACGCUGGCGGCGUGCCUAAUACAUGCAAGUCGAGCGAAGCGGGGAGGGGUGCGUAACACGUCGUUAACCUCCUUUAAGUCUGGGAUAACUUCGGGAAACCGGUGCUAAACCGGCUACUUUUAGUUGGAUCCGCGCUGCAGUAGCUAGUGGGUAAGGUAACGGCUUACCAAGGCAACGAUGCAUAGCCGACCUGAGAGGGUGAUCGGCCACACUGGAACGGAGACACGGUCCAGACUCCUACGGGAGGCAGCAGUAGGGAAUCUUCCGAAAUGGACGAAAGCCUGACGGAGCAACGCCGCGUGAGUGAAGAAGGUUUUCGGAUCGUAAAACUCUGUUAUUAGAGAAGCGGUACCUAACCAGAAAGCCACGGCUAACUACGUGCCAGCAGCCGCGGUAAUUC